rnacentral:rRNA from 1 species
UACGUAGGGGGCUAGCGUUGUCCGGAUUUAUUGGGCGUAAAGAGCGUGUAGGCGGCUUGGCAAGUCUGGUGUGAAAUCUUGCGGCUCAACCGCAAGCGGUCGCUGGAAACUGCCUCGCUAGAGUCCGGAAGAGGAGAGCGGAAUUCCUGGUGUAGCGGUGGAAAUGCGCAGAUAUCAGGAAGAACACCAGUGGCGAAGGCGGCUCACUGGUCCGGUACUGACGCUG